rnacentral:rRNA from 1 species
UACGUAGGUGGCAAGCGUUGUCCGGAUUUACUGGGCGUAAAGAGCGCGCAGGCGGUCGAUCAAGUCGCGUGUGAAAGCCCCCGGCUCAACUGGGGAGGGUCACGCGAUACUGAUCGACUCGAAGGCAGGAGAGGGUAGUGGAAUUCCCGGUGUAGUGGUGAAAUUCGUAGAUAUCAAGCGGAACACCGGUGGCGAAGGCGGCCUUCUGGACAGUGACUGACGCUGAGACGCGAAAGCGUGGGGAGCAAACAGG